rnacentral:lncRNA from 1 species
GCCGCGCCAUGCACCUGAUGAAGAAGCGGGAGAAGCAGCGCGAGCAGAUGGAGCAGAUGAAGCAGCGCAUCGCGGAGGAGAACAUCAUGAAAUCCAACAUUGACAAGAAGUUCUCUGCGCACUACGACGCGGUGGAGGCAGAGCUCAAGUCCAGCACCGUGGGUCUCGUGACCCUGAAUGACAUGAAGGCCAAGCAGGAGGCUCUGGUGAAGGAGCGGGAGAAGCAGCUGGCCAAGAAGGAGCAGUCCAAGGAGCUGCAGAUGAAGCUGGAGAAGCUUCGAGAGAAGGAGCGUAAGAAGGAAGCCAAGCGGAAGAUCUCCAGCCUGUCCUUCACCCUGGAGGAGGAAGAAGAGGGAGGCGAGGAGGAAGAGGAGGCGGCCAUGUAUGAGGAGGAGAUGGAAAGGGAAGAGAUCACCACGAAGAAGAGAAAACUGGGGAAGAACCCAGACGUUGACACAAGCUUCUUGCCUGAUCGAGACCGUGAGGAGGAGGAGAAUCGGCUUCGGGAAGAGCUGCGGCAGGAGUGGGAAGCCAAGCAGGAGAAGAUCAAGAGUGAGUAUCGAGAUCACCUUCAGCUACUGGGAUGGCUCUGGGCACCGGCGGACAGUCAAGAUGAGAAAGGGCAACACCAUGCAGCAGUUCCUGCAGAAGGCGCUCGAGAUCCUUCGGAAAGACUUCAGUGAGCUGAGGUCCGCAGGGGUGGAGCAGCUCAUGUACAUCAAGGAGGACUUGAUCAUCCCUCACCAUCACAGCUUCUACGACUUCAUCGUCACCAAGGCACGGGGGAAGAGUGGACCACUCUUCAACUUUGAUGUUCAUGACGAUGUGCGGUUGCUCAGUGACGCCACUGUGGAGAAGGAUGAGUCCCAUGCAGGCAAGGUGGUGCUGAGGAGCUGGUACGAGAAGAACAAGCACAUCUUUCCCGCCAGCCGCUGGGAACCCUACGACCCUGAAAAGAAGUGGGACAAGUACACGAUCCGCUGAGCAUCCAGGAGGCUGCGCGGCCCCGGCUCCUCAGCUCCCUCAGUGUGCCCCGUGGUGUCACCGGGACUCCAGGCACCCGCUCCCCUGCGACCAUGCCAGGCACGCUGGGAGGAGGACGGCAGCUGCUCGUGUCCUGCCCCUGCCACAUCAGUGACUGCUUUAUUCUUUUCCAAUAAAGAAGUGCACGUGUCAGAGCUGGAGCGCCUGCAUUGUG